GAGAUACAAUUCUAGCUGCAGAGUUUAUCUAUCUCAGACACAGUGCUUGUAAAUGUGCAGAAGGGCUCCGCUUUGCUGUUUGUGUAGUUCUGCACAAAGGAGAUCAGCAGUUUGUGGACAGCUCUUCCAAAGACCAGUGAGAACAAACAUUCCUUUCUUUCCUCUCUGAUUUCCUCCGAGUUAACAACAGAUAUUGACCUUAUGGAAUCACUGUAGCACAUUGUAAAUUAUGUAUGAAAUUCAGUUUUCCUCUCUGCUGUGGACAAGUUUUAACUGUGCCAUUUGCAGUACGCAUUGUCAGAGGGCUUGCAGAAUUCUCAGAGACACAGCCAAAGCAACCCAACUCACAAAAAAAACCCCAUUCAUUUUCAGUUAAAACCCCCACCUUUUACAUUUCUUAAAAUACUCCCACCUUGUCCUAGCUGCUGUCCCACCUCCUAACACAGUUUAAGACCUUUUAAAAGCAAGUUUUAUAUUCUCCCAAGGGUUCAACAUGUGCUUACAGGUGAAGUGUAAUGUUAAGUAGAAUAGGGUAGAACGGAAUAGAACAGAAUAGAAUUAGAAUUAGAAUUAGAAUUAGAAUUAGAAUAGCAUAGCGUAGAAUAGAAUAGAAUAGAAUAGAAUAGAAUAGAAUAGAAUAGAAUAGAAUAGAAUAGAAUAGAAUAAUAUCUAAGUUGGAAGGGACCUACAACUAUCAUUCAGUCCAACUGCCUGACCAAUUCAGGACUGGCCAAAAGUUAAAGCGUGGUCUUAAGCGCAUUGUCCAAAUGCCUCUUAAACACUGACAGGGAUGGGGCAUUGACCACCUCCGGAGGAAGCCUGUUCAAAAAAAAAUGAAACCAAAGGAGAUUCAAAAGUAUGGGCAAGAAAUCUGGAGUCAAGACAUCAAUAAUUCUAGCCUACCUCUUCUUUUUUUCCGGCUGGCAAGACUCAUUUCUGUAAAGAUUUCACAGAUUGCAUCAAAUGAGUGAUCUCAGGUAACAGGUCCCAUACAGAGAAAACCUUUCACAUGUAACCUGGCUUGUGCUUGUUCCCUGCUCGGCACAUUUCUUGUGCCCUCCAACUGGAUCAUCAGAGACCUUCUGUGAGGUUUAUCUGUGUGACCAGUCUCGGGACCUAAGGUGGAAUUUGUGCUUUCUUAAUAUGGCUGUAGAAAUUUUGCAGCCCACUAGCAAAUCAGUGGGCAAACAUAAUUUUUAAAUUCUAAUCAGAACAUUUCUCCAUAGUUGCAUUUGGAACAUGAGCACAUUUUCAUGGCAUUAUUCAAUUUUCCUUCCUUUUGUAACAUUCUGUUUUAAAGCUUCUAAUCGGUGUUUUCCCCUCAUCCUAUUUUUAUUCUCAUCCUAGAAACAAAAUGUCAACAUAACAAUGAAAAAUAAAUAGAAACACUUAUCAGCACUUAUUAAAACUAUAUAAAAGCCAUAUAAGAGGACUGAAUUACUGAAGUUAUAAGGAAAUUUCAGUUAAGUGUUUUUUUCUCUCUCCUCUUAUGCAAGCCCCAUUAACAAUGUAUGCAUGGUCCUGGAUGUGUAUUAGGAUAGGAGACCAGCAGAAGCUCCCCAACAACAUGGGGACUGCAUCCAGUCUCACUGCUGUUUUUCUGAGACUAAGAGAUUUUUUUGGAGGGCACAAACUACAGUCACACUUGAGCUGGUAACAUAAGCAGAGGCAGAAAGUGUGAGCAAGCUGCCUUUAGAUGCUGACUGCGUGAGCAAAUCCGAAAGACAGUCCAGUACAGCAAGUAGUUUUGUAUCAACAGUUCAUUCUGCUGAUGCAAGGGUUGUCCUGUAAGCUGCACCCAAAAGCAAGCAGAGCUGGCUUGGAAGGUUUGCUUCUGAAAAUGAAUCAUAAAAUGGGUUAUUUAAAAUGCACCAAAUCUUCGUUUCCUUAUGGGCAUAUAUAAUUUUCAGUUGUGGAAACUGUAGAAGCCUUCUUUUCUUUUGCUCUCAAGCAAUUGAAAGUCAAACUGUUCAGCUAUUUCCAUGCAAUGAAUUAGUUGUUCCCUCACUUAUGUUGCUAUGUCCUGUUACACAUUACACACCCAAGGAUUAUAUAUUUUAUACACGUAACUGCUUUUGAUCCUGUGGUGGAAAUAAGUUUUAUAAGCCAGCCAAACUUCUCUUAACCAUGUAUACAUCUGCUGUCUCCCUGAAGUUAAUUCCCUUCACAUCUCCUGUAGCUGCACAAGAGGUACUGUUCCCCGUGCCCUUGCGAGGUUGCAGCCUGCUCUCACCCCACAUGACUAAAUCAAAGCAUUCCAAAAAACCAAAGGGACAGUCAAGACUCUGGAAUUUCAAAGCAAACAUUUUUCUGUAUGUCUGGUGCUUCAACUCCUGCCAAGUCGUUUCUCCUGGUAAUCAUGUGUUUUGUUUAGCACAACAGUCCAGCUCCUGACUUCCAUUUCGCUGUCAGAGCAGAGACUUUGAUUCUGGUCUGACAUACACCUGGGUAAAUCCACCAAGGACAACAGAACUACACAGGUAUAAACUGAAAAUAAAUAGAUCCAUAUCUGGCUUUGUGUGCAUGGAUAUUGUGUAGUAAGAAUACGCCAUAAUUUUGUAGUAAAACUCUUCAGCCAGUUCAAGAGCGCAUGUCUGUAGGGACCAGCAGCCACAGCAAGCCACAGGUGUUCUGCUGGGGAUGGGAGGUCACCGUAGCAGGACAACACCCCUAUCUGCACUGAGGACAACUCAAAUGCAGAGUUUUCAAUCCAACAGGCAGCCUGCCCAAAGGUUGCUAGAGCUCUAGGAGAACAACAGUCCCAUAUAACAUCACUUGGAUCAACGCUGGAUUUCCAAACAGCAGAAAGUGUUGCCCUGCAUGUAGGGCAAUCUAACACGGGACAGGGCUGCACUGUGAGGCAGAGCUGCUACCUUGUGCUGCUCCACUGACUCACAGCCCUGCUGGCAGGAGCAAAAGGUCAGACCUGAAGCUGCAAGGGUUAAACACUAAGGUUUGCCCAGCCAUGCCUAAGGGUGAGCUGGGCUGGGCAGAGGUUGUUAGCAGUAAAGAAGAGUAAAUGGACUGACAGUAGUCAGUAGCAGGUGCUUGUGAAUCACUUGCACACUCUCCUGGGCCACCCCUGGGAUGGCACAGCCUGUGACGGGCAUGGGAUGGAGAAGCAUCAUCAUGCAGUUCUCCUUUCAGGUGUGAUAAUAUGGUCUCCUUCUGUGGACAACUGCCAGUACCUAGAGAGAACUAGCAAGAACUGGCAGCUCUUGAUCAGCCUGCUCUGGGUGGAUUCCCAAGGCAAUGGCUCUCUGGCACCUCCCUUGCGUUCCCAGGAGAAGGAGCCAUCUACCACUCCCCUGGCUCAACCCAGAUUAACAACAGUCUUAUUAUCAGCUGCCACUGCCCCAAACAGAGCCUUUCAGUUAAGAGUCCCUUUUUGUUAACGGAUGUAAAGCUAACAAGCCUCCAUAAGAAACAAUGCAACUUUUUUGUCUAAAUUUGGAGUCUCUGCAUGACAGGAGAGAAAAGUAGAAGAAAAGAAGAAAGGAAAGGAAGGAAAGCAGGCAGGUCCAGGCCUGACACUGGGAUCCACUCACCCCAAAACCUAAGCAGAAAUUCCUUCACAGCAGGUUGUUCAAAAUAUCUGCCGUGUGCAAACACUUUUGCAGCCACAUUUGCUUUGACGCUGGCAAACAGCUAACACUGUCUUCGUGAGAUACGGAGGUAAAAGAGGCAGACGUAGCCCUAGAGCAGCCGUGGGCAGGAGCAGAGAUGAGUGAGGGAGCAAGGAACAGGUCUGUGUACCAGACUCUGCAGUUCCCUGGCACGUCUGCUUGACUUUCCUUUCACAGCAGACAAGACUCGUGGCAGGAGCCAGUUAACUGGGAUGGCAACAAGCAGCAGUGACAAGCAGCAGCUCUGGAGAACAGCAGCCAUGUAUUUAAAAAGGAAAAACCACCACCAAGAAGCCCACAAAAAAGCCACACUAUUUUUUUUUUCUUCUGGGAGGUUAAGGUCAACAGUUGGGAGCAUUUCUGGGAGGAGGGAGGAGCAUGUAGCAGCAUGCACAGCACAGUUCCACUGUCUGGCCCUGGGAUCUGCAGGUGUGGGAUUCUCUUCACAGACACAGAUCCUGAAAGAUCCUAGUGAGAAAUGAUGCUUCAUAUUACAAAUGCCUGCUUUGCUGUCUGUACAUGCUAUCUGGCAAAGCCUUCUGAGCUUUAAGAUUUGCUCCAAUGGAAAAGCAGGACACCUGGGGACAUGGUUGCAUCCUGGUCCCUUUUCAGCAUGCAGCAUACCUGGGCAUCAGGACUCUGGAGGUUGAAGGACUUAACCAGCUCAGACACAGAUGCAGGACACUUGUGGAUGGACCAGGAGAAAAGUCUCAUGUAAUAAAAAAGUGAAAAUGGCUAUUUCUUAUUUUCUGCUCAUCUGGCUCUGGACACUGAACUAUAAACUCCUAACAGCGCAAACAGAUCUUCAAAAGUUAUUGGACUGUAUGUGAGUGCUAUGUAGCCCCUCCUUGGUACAAAGAAUCAGUACAUUGGAGUCAGCACUGAAAAACGAUGAAGAACGCACAUUCUUUCAACCAUCACUAGAAUGAAUGGUUUCAACAUUUACAUUUUUGUAGAGUCAUGUCAUCUGAACUUUUUUCUUUGUUUAGAAAACUCAGUCACGCUAUUUACAUGCAGCGUAUCCCGAAGCUUUCCUUUCCUAGAUCUCCAGUAGAACAAUAACUCCCUCUGGUGUUUGCCUGCUAUUGUUACUGCCUCCACCACAGCCCUGGGAAACCCUGCCAGAUGAUGAACGUACAAUAAACCCUCUUCUCUUGGUCGAUGGUAUUUUACGCUUUGGGCAGGAGGGACAGUGUGUGUCCAUCAGGCUCAGAGACCUCCUGUCUGCAGGUGGACAUCAGCACCUCAUGGCAAGUACAGCCCUGAGCUCCACCACUGCUGAGUGGCUCACGAUGCCGAAGACUCGUUAACAUGCUCCCUCCAUUUAUUUAAUUUACACAAAUGGUAGGCUUAUUGCAAUGUGUCUGGUUUCUUUAUUUGAUAAUACUGGAACUUACCACCCCAGUCCCGAGAGGGUCAAGAUACAUGCAGGGAUAUGUCAAGUGGCUGGAUGAUAGUUCAGGGUUAAUGAAUUGCUGUGCUCUGCUCUUGGGACAAACCAUGUGGAACUGUCAUGCAGCUGCAAAUUCAUACACAGGAAUGCUGUCACAGCUUCAAGGCUAAAAUCUGACCUACAAGUGAGUUUCAAGCUAUACCUGCAGGCAGAGGAAGCAAAAUGGGAUGCAAGAGAAUUAAGCUCUUCUUCACCUUAUCUCUCUAUUGCCAUAGUAGUGCUGAUUGUCAAUUGUUUUAAUGAAAGAUUUACAAGAAAAUAUACACUUUUUUUUUAUUGUUAAAAAUGUAUCACAUGAUAAUUUAUAAGUAAACACCCAUUAUUAUUUUCAUUUUCCAUAUUUUUGCUGUAAUCAGUUGAGGAAAACAAACCUGCAAGACAAGAUGAAGGAAACUAAAUAUUCGAGAUAUGCCUUUUGCCAAAGAGAAGAGGCUAUUUUGCUGUGAAUUUGAAUAGACAUUCCUUCCAAAGAAUCAUGUGAUCAUUCAGCUGGAUGCUCUCUCCAACCAGCCCACAGACUUUUUAUAUUUGACCUAAAUGUCUGGAGUGGUUUUUUUUUUUGUUUGUUUUGUUUUGUUUUGUUUUGUUUUUCCCUCUACAGCAUAUCACAGACCAGGAGUCUGUAAGCUGAUUAUCGUUGCUGUUAAUUCACUUCUGAAUGCAAACAUCUUUGUGUAUUUCAAACACUGGUGUACAGAGCUGAAAAAGGAAAAGUUAAAAGACCUCGAAAACUCAUACUAAAUCCUGGCUUUCUGGCUCCCUCAUCCUUGUUACAAGUAGCCCUGUGGCAGAAGGCUCCCUGGCCAAUGCCUUAUGUUAUGCAGUGUGUAACCAUACCACACCUUUAAUGUAAAACAACUCCCUUUAAUGUGCUGUAAUCUCUUAUCCCCUUUGUCUCUCAGAUAAUCCUCUUGCACGUGGUAAUCCUCAAAAUCACAUAUGCUCUUGAAAGCUUUUCUUUUGGAAAUUAUUCAUAUCCAUUUUCCAGACACUGGCAACCAAAUAUUACAGAAAACUUGAUUAUUCUGUCUUUGACAGUCUGAUUUUUUCAUAUUUCAGAUUCACCGCUUGGCUGGAACUGGGUCAACAAAAUGAGUAAACAGUUUCUAGUUGUCCAGCAGAAUGGUAGCAUGCCUACUUUUUCUUUGGUCAAGGCAGAGGGACGACAUUUUGGGGAGAGUUAACAGGAAACAAGUGAACAAUAUUUUCUAUUUGGGUUGUAGAACAGAGAAUUAGGAAAGAAAGAUCUGCUUGUCUAGAAUGAUUUAAAAAUAUCUCCUCCUGGGCUACUAAAACAAGCUGGUAAAAUUAAAGUUCCCGCCUCAGUAGUAAUAAUCAA